UGGCAGAGAAGUGGCUCCUGGUGCUUGGUUCUGCCCAGGUGCUGUUUCUGAGUAGCCUGGUCUUCACUCCCAGGUAAGCUCACCUGUCUCUGUGGAGUCCUUGGUGAUUUGCGUUGCACUCUCAAAUGUCACAGUGUCCCUGUUGAUCCUUUGGUGUCGAACUGAAGCCCGGCAGGCCGUCUGUCUCUUCCACCAGGAGCAUGACAUCCAAAUGAACCCGUGGUGUUGGCAACAGAGUUCAGUAGCAUGUGUGUGAGUGCCCGCAUAUGUGUCUCUGCACCAUACGCAUGCCUGGUGCCCAAAGAGGUCAGAAGAGGACAUGAAUUCCCUGGAACUGGAGUUACAGAUGGUUGUGAGCCACCAUGUGGGCGCCGGAAACUGAAUCUCGACCCUCUACAGGAGCAGCCAGUGCUCUUAACCACCCACCAAGCUGCUGCCUCUCCAGCCCCAAGAAUGCGGAAUGCUUUGCAGCCCCGGAGACCAUGCCUUUUGGGGCUCCCAUGCGGGAAAACGGAAAUCAUAUCCAUUGAAAACUUGCCUCUGGACCUGGCAUACACUGGGGUCUUUUCUCGCUGCCUGAACUUCCGCUGGCAUAUGGGAUCGCAGGUGCAUCUUACAUCUCCGUAGAUGCUUCUGAUUGCCCUUAAACUAAGAUCCGCUGGGUGCAUGCGGUGAGCUUGGGGGAGGGGGGCUGGGGAGGUGAGCCACCACUAGCCAGAACCAUCGGGGAUGGUGUCUCCUGUACCUUUUCCCUGCAAGGAAGUGACCUCCCUCUUCCCCCCGCCCCCAGCUUGUGUUCUCAGCCAUCAUAUCUAGCCGCUUCACACUGAUUCCUAACAGAUGUUCCCUCAAUGAAGUUUGCCGUAAUCUUGGGGCCUUAAUAUAGUCCCCGAGUGUGAUAAGUUGGAAGCGGCUGUCAUCAUUCCCCCAGGAGAAUGGUCUGGUCAUUGUUUGGAUCUGUCCCUGUCUGACUGUCCCUUGAAAGAGAAUGUAUUUUCUCCCUUCGCCUCUUUGCCACAGAUACCCUGCCUCCCCCUCCUCAUCCUAUUCCUGACCAAAAAAAAAAAAAAAAGUAUGCAUUAGAACCUUCCAGAAAGUCCUUGGUACAUUAUAAUGAAGGAGAAUGACAGAGGAAGGAGCUUAGGUGAGAAGUCUGGUCAAAAAAUCAAUAUCAAUAUUGUCAGGCUUUAGAUUGCAUUGCUGCAGACUCUCGGCUCCCUGGGGACACAAGGCAGAUGUUCACUGGGCGGGGAAGGGAAGAGCUGGUACAGGGCAGCUGGGGAGCCAGCGGGGAGCUUCCAUUUGCAAAGGCUCUGGGGGCC